UACGAAGGGGGCUAGCGUUGUUCGGAAUUACUGGGCGUAAAGCGCGUGUAGGCGGGUCUUUAAGUCAGGGGUGAAAUGCCAAGGCUCAACCUUGGAACUGCCUUUGAUACUGGAGACCUUGAGUCCGGGAGAGGUGAGUGGAAUUGCGAGUGUAGAGGUGAAAAUUCGUAGAUAUCGCAAGAACACCAGUGGCGAAGGCGGCUCGACUGGCCCGGUAA
rnacentral:rRNA from 1 species